rnacentral:rRNA from 1 species
UACGGAGGGGGUUAGCGUUGUUCGGAAUUACUGGGCGUAAAGCGCGCGUAGGCGGACCAGGAAGUUGGGGGUGAAAUCCCGGGGCUCAACCCCGGAACGGCCUCCAAAACUCCUGGUCUUGAGUUCGAGAGAGGUGAGUGGAAUUCCGAGUGUAGAGGUGAAAUUCGUAGAUAUUCGGAGGAACACCAGUGGCGAAGGCGGCUCACUAGCUCGAUACUGACGCUGAGGUGCGAAAGUGUGGGGAGCAAACAGG